UCCAGACUCCUACGGGAGGCAGCAGUGAGGAAUAUUGGUCAAUGGUCGGGAGACUGAACCAGCCAAGUCGCGUGAGGGAAUAAGGCCCUAUGGGUCGUAAACCUCUUUUGUCAGGGAGCAAAGGCGUCCACGUGUGGACGAGAGGAGAGUACCUGAAGAAAAAGCAUCGGCUAACUCCGUGCCAGCAGCCGCGGUAAUACGGAGGAUGCGAGCGUUAUCCGGAUUUAUUGGGUUUAAAGGGUGCGCAGGCGGAGGUGCAAGUCAGCGGUCAAAUUGCGGGGCUCAACCCCGUACUGCCGUUGAAACUGGCGUUCUUGAGUGAGCGAGAAGUAUGCGGAAUGCGUGGUGUAGCGGCGAAAUGCAUAGAUAUCACGCAGAACUCCGAUUGCGAAGGCAGCAUACCGGCGCUCAACUGACGCUCAUGCACGAAAGCGUGGGUAUCGAACAGGAUUAGAUACCCUUGUA
rnacentral:rRNA from 1 species